GUUUACAGUCCCUAUAGGUGAAAAAUCCUCAUUAAUAAUUUGCUCAUUGUGCCUGGUGUUUAGAGUUUUAAUAAUUAAAAAGCCACUUUUAAAGUCCCUGCUUUAACUAUAUAUGUGAAGAUAAACAAACCAUAGUGUUCUGGGAGUUCCCUUCUCACUUACCUGAGUCCCCUGGCCACCUGUGGGUUGUCAUUUGUCACAGAUAAAGCAAACAUUCCUUUUCCACAACAGAUUUGGCAAUUCUUCUCAACAAGAACUUAAUUAAUUGACUGAGAGCAUCAACUGAAGCUUUCAAGUAAUUUAUUCCACCCAAGGAUGGUUGAAAUUGAUAUUAAUUAUAUAGAAUAACGAUAGUGAUAUCGGUAAAGAGGGGCCAUUCAGCAAGAAUUUGGGGGAUCCAGGCAAUUGUCAACCUUUUAAUAAAUAGUUUGACUCUUUACCAUGGGAACUUAUAAACCAUAACCAAAAUAAUGAGUUGUAGUGGUUAUAGAACUUAUUAAUUAACAUUUUUAGAAAGAGGCAUUCACUCAACUUCUGAACCGAAACAAAACCUAGAAUUGGUUCUGUUUUGUCCCACUGUAAUUUAAGGAUUUAAACUCGUUUUCCUGGCACUAUAGCUUCCCCCUCAGUCAAUGCCCUCCCUACCCACCAUGGUGCAGAAGGGGUUAAUAACUGUGGCGGUAUGCCCUCCUGAAAAUGGGUUAAUACCGCUUGUGGUCACCCCUUCCUGAUCAGCUCCAGAGUGAUUAUAGCUGCUGAGUAGUGAUUAUAGAUACUGCCGAAGGGUAACCGUGGUAUCACCCAAACACUAGUCGAGACUGAAUGAAUGGUGAAGUAGAUCUGUUUAUUCCCAGCCAAAUGGCUCACAUUUAUACAGAAUAACAGUAGACACUCCCCAAAACACGCCCAUAAACACACCCACAAAAUGUCCACAAAAUGCAUUGUCAUCGUGACUCAGCAAAAACACAUAUGUCACACAUAGGAACCCCCACAGUCUAUACAUCCCUGAGUAGCCUGGAUCUGAGCGCCUAACAUAUCCGAAUAGCGCUCAGAUCCCACAAACAGAGAACCGUGUGGAAGUUCUGACCAGCAGCACACAUGGUCCUAUGCCCAAAACAGUUCCAGGGUGUUUUGUGCUUUUGGCCGGUCAACUUCGGGAGUUCCAUGUGAAAGAAAUACCGUACAUACACUCUGGCUUCUUGGUAGCGUUUGUUUGUAUGAACCAUAUGAAGAAAACUACGAACUGGCGCUCUCCUGACGUGUGGGGAAGGAGCAGGCGUUCGUCCAAGUUCAGCGGUGUUCGGUGUUUCAGUGUCCAAUUUCAGUUCCACGCGAUCGACGCCCAAACACCGCUGCCUGCAUUCUCAUGAACCAAAUGGCUGCCACACAGUUCCCAUGUGUUUGUGCAUACGAAUGGCGGCCACCCAGCCGCUCAAUUAGAAUCCACACUGAUAGAACUGUCAGGAGAGUUAACAAGGGGCAAUAAGCUCCGAGGUGGUCCGCAGUUCGUGGGUAGAGAUGCUGUCCAGGAAGUAGGAGGGUCUGGGAGGGAGGGUCUGCCGGAG